UUUGGGCUUCUUAGGCGCCGGUGGACAGCUCAGAAUUUUGGGGAUCAAAUUCUGAGGAGAUUUUGGGGUUUUGAUUUCUUCUUCUCCUCUUGAAUUCUGUGAAGAUAAAGUAGUAACUACGUUGAUUUUCGGCAAUUGGAUUUCCAACCGGAAUUCUAGAUCUGUAGACAUUUUGAGUAGAAUUCUAUGGGUAUGUGAAAUGGACAAGAAAUAGGAGGGAUGUGUGUUAAGUUUGAGGUCAAUAUAUACGGGCGGAAAAAGUGAAGAGAAAAUUGUUAGUUAAAGGCGAGACGCGUGCCAUUGAAGGUAGGAGUAAUUGAGUUAAAGAAAAAGGGCGUUUACUAUAUUUCUUUAUUCUUACACUAACCAAACACCUUUCUUCCAUGUCUAUUUCACACUCUUAUUCGCAUUUAAUAAAUAAAUAAAAGUUAUUGAUAAAUAUUAAAAGUACACUUUAAACUUGUAGUAUCAAAUACAAUAUAUUAUGACAUUUUUUAUUACUAUAACAACAUAUUAUUAAGGAUACAAUAAAAAAGGUUUAAAUGUAUUUUUUUUUAAAUACGUAAAUAUAUUGUCCUUUUUUGUGGGGAAAUUGGAAGAAACUAAAAUGAACCAAUGGAACACAGAGCGUAUAACUUAAAUACAUGUUGAUCAUAUGAAGCUUCUCCUUUCUAAGUUUGCUAUUCUUUCUAAGUUAAGCUUGGAGAGAGAUUAAAAUGAUUCCUCUAGUUAAUUUUGUUGCUGCUUUUGCUUAAUGUAGAGCCUUGUUUUAAAUGUAUGCUUUGUAUGAAGGGAAAGAGUAAAUUCCCUUAGUUAAUUUUGUUGCUAAUUUUGCUAAAUGUAGUGCCUUGUGUAUCAUUUGAGGAAUGUAUGAGGACAAAAGUGAAACGGAUGAGUAGUGCCUUGCACUUGGUGUUAGGUAUAUUCUUUAAUACCAUGAUUCUUGAACACGAUUCUGAAGAGGAUAUGUUUUUUUUUUCACUUCUCCACAAUUAAUUGCAUUCAACUUAGAAAUAAAGAAGGGAGGAAUGAGGAUCAACUACACAAAUUUUUCUUACAUUUCAAUAGAUGACAAUUAAUUAACACUAUCACUUUUUUGUUUCAUUCUCUAGUUUUAAUUUGUAAAACUUACAAGUUUAGAUACUUCUAUCAAUGAAAACCUUAUAAACAUUUAUUAAUUUAUUACAAGGGGGAAAUGGAAAACAUUAAUGAAAAGAUAGAGGAGAAAGACAAAAUAAGAGAAAAUUUAGAGAAUUAAUGAUUAGUAGAGGCAGUAGUGGGGGAGCAACAAAAAAGAGGAUUGGAGAACCUUUCCUUUGCUGUCUCAGUCAGAUCUAAAAUUCAUAACAUUCUGUUUUUGGGGAUUGCCAUGUGAACUUUACAACUUGCUUUUGACACAAAAAGUUGUAACUCUAUCAACUUUGGGUACCUCCCACCACCGUCAUUACACCCCUUUUUCUUGCGCUCCCAUCUCAUCUUUCUUUUUGGGAACAAAUUAACAAAUGUGAUUUUAUAACGAUCCGAUCAGUUAUUUUGAGAGUAUUAGCUAUGAUCUUCUAUUUAUUAUCUCCUCUGCUUCAUUUUAUGCUUACUUGAUUUGUCGGGGUACUUGGUGUCGGGUUUGGGAAAGUUUUGGAGUGGAAUAGGAUACAUAGUCCCUAAGUGUGAAGUUUGAGUUGUAAGAGUUGACCGAAGUUUGACUUAUGUGAAGACGACUCCGGAACGAAGUUUCGUCGGUUUCAAUAGCUCCGUAUGGUGAUUUUGGUUUUAGGAGGGCGUCUGAAUGUAGAUUUGGAGGUCCGUAGGUCAUUUCAGCAUUAUUUGGCGAAAAUUGGAAAUUUGAGGAUUUUUGGAAAGUUUGAUCGGGAGUGAAUUUUUUAUAUCCGAGUCAGAUUCCAAUUCUGAAAGUUGGAGUAGGUCUGUAAUGUCAAAUAUGACUUGUAUGCAAAAUUCGCAGUCAAUCGGAAGUGAUUUGAUAGGUUUCGACAUCGGAUGUAGAAGUUAGAAGUCCAAAAGUUCAUUAAGCUUGAAUUGGAGUGCGAUUCAUAUUUUUAGCAUUAUUUGAUGUGAUUUGAAGGCUCCACUAGGUUCGUAUAAUAUUUUAGGACUUGUUGGCAUAAUUGGUUGAGGUCCCCGGGGCCUCGGUUGGUUAACGGAUAAACUUUGGAACUUAGAAAAUGGCUGAAGUGCACCAGUUCUAGUACAAUCGCAACUCCGCAAGUUUGACCGCAGGUACGAGCUCGCAGAAGCGAGAGGGCAAGGGCAGAAUCGAGAUUGAAGAGGUGGCCAGGGAUCGCAGGUGCGAGGGAAAUGUUGCAUCUACGAGCCCGCAGAUGCGCAUGUAGUUCCACAGAAGCGGAGAGUGAGCUGGAAGGGAGGUUCGUAAAAGCGGACAAUGUUCGCAGGCGCGCACGCGCAGGUGCGGCCUAUUAAUCACAGAAGCGGACCCAGGAGGCUUAAGUCAAGUCCGCACUUGCGAUGAAAAUUCCGCAUGUGCGACUGGGAGCCCGCAGAUGCGAAAUCGCUAGGGCAGAAAAGGCCUAAGUCAAGGGUUUGAUUUCAUUAUCUAUUGUUGGAUCUAGAGAGCUCAGAUUGAGGCAAAAUUUUAGGGUAUUUUCAAAGAAAAUAUUUGGGUAAGGAUUCUUGACUCAUUUUUUUAUUAUAUUCCACUAAUUUAUCGUUAAUUGCGUCAUUUAAUUGAGGAUUUGGGUUGAAAAUUUGGGGGAAGGUGUGAUUCCACUAAUUUCGUCAUUCCACUAAUUUCCUGUUUCCUUGAUUUGUAUGUAGUCUUUAACCGUAGGAUUUCCUUGAUGUGAAUUCGUUGUUCCAUCGAUUACGAGUUAUGUAUUUACUUUGGGAUUACGAGGCGGCACCUCGGGAGCUUCCCUAUUGAGUAUUUACUUUUGGGACUAUGAGGCGGUACCUUGGGAGCGCCCCUGUUGUUUACCCCUAUGUGCUAUGUUGUUACCUUUCUGUAAUUUUUCAUUGUUAAAUUCUCAGUCUUUUCAUUAUACUACUAUAUCUUCUGCCUUAAUUAUUAUAUUCUAGUGGGCCCUGACCUGACCUCAUCACUGUCACACCUCCUUUUACCUACACCCCGGGAGGGUAUAAGGGAGUUUUUCCAAUUAAAGUGACAAUAACCAAAAUGGGAUUAAUUAUUUUGAAAAUCAGAGUCGCCACUUGGGAUAAUUUAUGGUAUUCCAAGUCACCAGUUUAAAAUCCCGAAUCGAGGAAGUUUGACUCUAUUAUUGGUCCGCGAACACAGAAAUCCGGGUAAGGAAUUCUGUUAACCCGGGAGAAGGUGUUAGGCACUCCCGAGUUCUGGGGUUCUAGCACAGUCGCUCAACUGUUAUUAUUUGGCCUAUUUACUGAUUUUUAAUACAUGUUUUAACCUAUGGUACAAUUUUAACUUAUUAAACCGCUUUUAUUUAAUUAUUUUUGGGGAAGAUUUCAACGUCAUAUAAAACACGUCUUGAACCACGUCACAUAAAUGCACCCACGGUCUACAACACAUUUCAUCUAACGUUGUUGAGAUUUGGAUUUGGGUCACAUAAAUGCACACCCAAAUUUAGGAAAGUAGCUUUUUAAAUAGCGUGCCUAAAGCAACUACGCACUUUCAGGUUUGCAAGGGCCAUGGAAAAUUCAACUAAAUGGCACACCUCGAUUUUAAAAGAGUUAAAAAUUAAUUAAGUGAGGGCCAUGGGUCUUGGGAUAUUUAUUCAACAUGACACACCUCAAUUUAUUUCAAAGGGUUUUAUUAUUCGAAGUUGCUAUGAUCGGGCUACAUGAAAUGCACCCCCGAAUUGGGAUUUACAUAUCGUGACCAUGCCACAGGAACCGUACCCAUGACCACGAUAAUUUAUUAUAAAAACGCGCCUAAAGCAAGCUACAAAUGUUCAUUAUUCUUCCUAAAUUUUGAGAUUAUUGUGAAGGCCAUGAGUUAUGGAAUUAUUGUGAGGAAGAGGCCGACUUACUCGUUCCCAAGUGAACUUCGACAAAUUAAACGAGAACAAAGACAACACAAUAAAGCCAUACACGUUAUCACCGAUUCCCCUUUUAUGUUAUUUCUCGAUCAAAGCAACAACAGCAUUAGUAUAAAAUUUGAGACCACACGGUUUGCAAGAAAUGGAAAGAUCAUUAAUACUAUACAUUUUGCCCCACAUAACGGUGAAAUAGAAUAUCAUUGUGCAGAAACCUCAAAUGCUAAGAUCAAUAAUGGACCAAAAAGCUCACUGACUACACUAUAUUUAACUAUAGUGUAGGAAUCUUAUUUCAUUUUAACACUUAACCAAAAUCACUCAAACAGGUCAUGAGUAGCUUCAACAAAUAAUUAAACAUCCAAUAGAAUCAUACACCGAAUGAUCCAUACAAGUUGUUUUUAUUUUAUUUUUAAAAAUGGAAUAAAAUUGACGAAGAGUUAAAAGAAUUGGACCUUUGUGUUGAAUCUGAGCUUUUGAGUUUUAUAUCAUGGAAAUCUCAAAGCAAACAAGACCCGGACAUGACCACGAUGAACCCAGACCUUGGCAGACAAAACUCAAAUCGGCAAACAAACCUUCACAUCGACCGAAACGGGAUUCUACUGAAGCUACAGCUCACUCUAGUUGCGCCAAACAGAUCCAAAUUCCUCACGAAAAGUGCUAGGUUUCGUUUGUGUUUAUGGCUGUUGAUUUCCGUUUCUCAUGAGGAGUCAGAUGAGGUCCUUCAUUUUUGUUUUUUUUUUCGAUCUUUUCCGGAGAAGUGGCCGAUCUUUUUUCUUUUCUUUGCUUUAGGCGUUAGUCUAUCUCUAGGUUAGCUCAUGUUUUUGGGAUUUUUGUUUUGUCCCAUCUAUGGAAACGCUAAUUGUUGUGUGUCCGUUUUGCUGAAGAUAGAAACGGCGGAUCAGAUGGUUUUAGGCGUCCCUCCAUUAUUUUGUGCAUUAGGACCUAUUAUAUAGGGGUAGGAAUUAGGUUAGGGGUAUGACCUAGGAAUUAUGGGCUUGAGAAUUAUGGGCUAGGUCCAAAAUUAGGCUUAAAAAUGGGUUGCUCGAACCCAAGUUUCAUUCUUUCCCUGUGAACGAGAUUAAAAAUGCGAUCUCAUUUAUUAAUUAAUCCUACUUAAAUAAAAUAACUAUUAAAGUAAGACUGACCGCUAAAAUAAACUAUUUUUUUUUGUAUUUUUCAAGAUUAAA
rnacentral:lncRNA from 1 species